UGGGGAAUAUUGGACAAUGGGCGAAAGCCUGAUCCAGCCAUGCCGCGUGUGUGAAGAAGGUCUUCGGAUUGUAAAGCACUUUAAGUUGGGAGGAAGGGCAGUAAGCGAAUACCUUGCUGUUUUGACGUUACCGACAGAAUAAGCACCGGCUAACUCUGUGCCAGCAGCCGCGGUAAUACAGAGGGUGCAAGCGUUAAUCGGAAUUACUGGGCGUAAAGCGCGCGUAGGUGGUACGUUAAGUUGAAUGUGAAAGCCCCGGGCUCAACCUGGGAACUGCAUCCAAAACUGGCGAGCUAGAGUAGGGCAGAGGGUGGUGGAAUUUCCUGUGUAGCGGUGAAAUGCGUAGAUAUAGGAAGGAACACCAGUGGCGAAGGCGACCACCUGGGCUCAUACUGACACUGAAGUGCGAAAGCGUGGGGAGCAAACAGG
rnacentral:rRNA from 1 species